AUUGAACGCUGGCGGCAGGCUUAACACAUGCAAGUCGAGCGGAGAUGAGGUGCUUGCACCUUAUCUUAGCGGCGGACGGGUGAGUAAUGCUUAGGAAUCUGCCUAGUAGUGGGGGACAACAUUCCGAAAGGAAUGCUAAUACCGCAUACGUCCGACGGGAGAAAGCAGGGGAUCUUCGGACGUCGCGCUAAUAGAUGAGCCUAAGUCGGAUUAGCUAGGUGGUGGGGUAAAGGCCUACCAAGGCGACGAUCUGUAGCGGGUCUGAGAGGAUGAUCCGACACACUGGGACUGAGACACGGCCCAGACUCCUACGGGAGGCAGCAGUGGGGAAUAUUGGACAAUGGGGGAAACCCUGAUCCAGCCAUGCCGCGUGUGUGAAGAAGGCCUUAUGGUUGUAAAGCACUUUAAGCGAGGAGGAGGCUACUGAGACUAAUACUCUUGGAUAGUGGACGUUACUCGCAGAAUAAGCACCGGCUAACUCUGUGCCAGCCGCCGCAGUAA
rnacentral:rRNA from 1 species